UACGUAGGGGGCAAGCGUUAUCCGGAUUUACUGGGUGUAAAGGGAGCGCAGACGGCAGUGCAAGUCUGGAGUGAAAGCCCGGGGCCCAACCCCGGAACUGCUCUGGAAACUGUGCGGCUAGAGUACUGGAGGGGCAGGCGGAAUUCCUAGUGUAGCGGCGAAAUGCGUAGAUAUUAGGAGGAACACCAGUGGCGAAGGCGGCCUGCUGGACAGUAACUGACGUUGAGGCUCGAAAGCGUGGGGAGCAAACAGG
rnacentral:rRNA from 1 species